rnacentral:tRNA from 1 species
GACGCAUAGCUCAGUUGGUAGAGCAGCUGACUCUUAAUCAGCGGGUCCUUGGUUCGAGCCCAAGUGCGUCCACCACCACC